AUAGCGUAUAUUAAAGUUGUUGUGGUUAAAAAGCUCGUAGUUGGAUCUCAGCUCACGCUUGGCGGUCCACAAUGCGUGGUUACUGCCAGGCUGAGCACUCUACCGCAUUGUCCUGUGGUGCUUUUUACCGAGUGUCACAGGCGGUCGGUACGUUUACUUUGAAAAAAUUAGAGUGCUCAAAGCAGGCAAUUCGCCUGAAUACUGUUGCAUGGAAUAAUGAAAUAGGACUUUGGUUCUAUUUUGUUGGUCUUCGGAACCAAGGUAAUGAUUAAGAGGGACAGACGGGGGCAUUAGUAUUGCGACGCUAGAGGUGAAAUUCUUGGACCGUCGCAAGACUAA
rnacentral:rRNA from 1 species